UACAGAGGGGGCAAGCGUUGUUCGGAAUUACUGGGCGUAAAGGGCGCGUAGGCGGCCUGUUAAGUCGAACGUGAAAUCCCCGGGCUCAACCCGGGAACUGCGUCCGAUACUGGCAGGCUUGAAUCCGGGAGAGGGAUGCGGAAUUCCAGGUGUAGCGGUGAAAUGCGUAGAUAUCUGGAGGAACACCGGUGGCGAAGGCGGCAGCCUGGACCGGUAUUGACGCUGAGGCGCGAAAGCCAGGGGAGCAAACGGG
rnacentral:rRNA from 1 species